AAAAAAGAGAGAGUAUGCGAAACCUCAGACUUCUUACAUGGGGCGAUUAAAGAGUAGCCAAUAGUUUGUGUGGAUAACACAAAAGGUUCGGAAAACAAGGAACCAAGUCGCAUAUUUUCAGACUCUUAGGUUUACGUACUUUAAUGUACUAUUAUGCCUUUUUGAAUAUUAACUUUCAUGUAGUGUGUAAUAUAGCAGCUGUUUGUGAUAAAUGGAGUUUUUGUUUCCCAAAAGAAAGAAGCAAUUCUGAAAUGCCUGAAACGAGUCGUCACAAAGGCUUGACAUUAACUUUUCUGUCACUGUGGCUAGUGGUUUUCCAAAGUUACUAGUCACUCAACAUUUUCACUGGCCACAAUUCUGACAUCGACACCAUGGGGAAAAACUGCCAUAUAGACAUUUUUAAUAUUAUCUUAUAAUAUGGCAUCAGGUUUAUGAGGCUGCUGUCACUUUAAGAGCUGACACACGGAUCCAUUACACUGUUACAUGUUUUCUUUCUCAACCGUUUACAUUCACUUAAAACAUAACUGACUGUGUUCAUGUGAAUACUCACCAAGACUGGCAUUUUGACAUUAUUUUGUGUGUAUUUGACUGUUUAAGCGCAAUAAGCAGCGAAAAACUCAAUUUAGUACUGAGAGGCGACUUAAUGUGUGCGCACUUUGGAUGUGAGAACAAAAUUUAGUAAAAUUACGCACAAUACGCUCAAACCCACGCUGAAAUUCAAGCCCUGUAACACCAACAAUAUUCAUUCGGAGCAAAUGAAACGAGGUGGUUUGUGUGUCGACUUGCUGUCGGAGAGAUGAGAGAGAGAGAGCAGCUGGUAUUGUGUAUCUAUUCUGCAGAAAAUGAGUAUUGGAAGCGUUUCAGAUGUUUCAGUAUCGAUAUGUAUCGAAAAAUCGAUAUUUUUGACAACACUACAUUGAACUUAUGGUUUAUUUCAGAUGCCUUUUAAAAGACUACAACUGAAAAAUUGACUGUGUCACACACCACUGCUGAAAUCCACCCGCAUUUGGCGAGUGUUAAUGUCUCUCUCUUCUACUUUGCCCCUCCCUCAAGCACUGUAGUUGUAUCUGAGACUGGAAGAGUUUGGUUUGUGUCAUUCGUGUUUUCUGCUGCCAAAACAAAUCCAUUCUGAUGUGCUUCCAAAGGAUGAGGACUUAGACCGAACUGAUCUGGAUAAUGACACUAUGGUCUUUUUAGAGCUGAUUUAGAGCAGAUUUUGAAUUAGUCUCAUAUUUGAUGAAGUUUGCAUCAUUAAUUAAUUCUGUUAUUUUCCUGUUUAUUACUAUGAAGCUGCUUUGAAACAAUCCAUAUUAUGUAAAACACAUAAAGGUGACUUGUCUUUAAAAAAUGUCAGCCAUUAACUAAUUCUCACAAACCAAGAAUCAACGUGCAACAGAAACAGCUGCUGUGAAUGUCAACGGGGCAUUAUCAGGGGAGCUUGUGUGCCUCUCGUCUGUGGGUUGUUAAGAUAUCAUUAUGAGCGAGUGUGUAGGCAUUGACAGAAGGAGGGCUCUGAGUGUGAUGGAGCUCCAGCGCAGCAUGUUAUGCAUGCAAAAACGGCAGCAACAUGUAAACAAAGAUGGAGGUCAAGGCUGGUGUACAUUAUGAUGCAUAAAUAGAUGUUCCUGAAUGAGACAUACUGUAAUUUGACCAGGUCAAGGUGGAAGUGACACACCAUCAUCAUCUUGUGGGAAGUAUAUGGAACUUGUAUGAAAAAUAUUAUUAUUAAUAUUUUGGUAACACUUUAUUUAAGAGUCCUGUUCUGCAUGAGCAUACUAUGUACUUAUUAUAGUAAUUACAAUUACUGGGUAAUAACUAGGUAAAAACCCUGAAUCUACCCGUGCAGUUACCUUAAAUUACUCAGUACUUUGAGUAAGUACACUGUAAGUGCACGACAUACACACUGAUAAAAAUGAUUCUGUGGUGAAGUAAAUACUACAGAAAAAACAAAUGUAAUUUCUACAUGAAAAAGAUAGUUAAAAAAACAAAAUAAAUUCUAUAUUAGUACUCAAUUCAAGCUUGCAGAAAUAUCAAUGUUACAGAAUUAAGUAAAACUUACUCUGAAAAUUUUCCAAUACUGGUGCUCCCAUCAUGCACUGUGGCACAAAUAAUUAAUAAGGUUGCUUUUUUCCUCUGUUUUCCAGCUGUAUUUACACUGUUUUAUUAUUGCUUUUGUUGUUAGGUUUAGUAACUUGCCAUUUUGUGACAUCUGGAGUUCAUUUUCUACUCAAAAUGACACAUUCAUACUCAAAAACCAUCCACUGAAUGUUACCGUCACUGUGCAUUGUGUACCAAGUAUUAAGAUCUCUAUGUUCGGGUGAGUGCCACGUUCUGUGUAGAUGUGUUGUCUACACAAUAUCUAUUGUAUUAUUUACUUAGAUGUUUCUAAAUAUGCCUUAGUUCAGUGUUAUACUGUUUGAGUAAAAUUUACUUGAAACAAAGUACUGUAAGUAAACUUCAACUAAGUAGAAGUUACUUAAACUUUUACUGGUCAAGUUAAAGUUACUUAUUUUCUUUGAUAAUUUUACUUAAAGGUGGGAUAAGUAGAUUUUCAACAACACUGUUUGGACAUUGUUGAUAUUUGAAAUCAACCCAAACAAACCCACCCCUCUCUUCAUUGCUCCGCCUCCAAAACUCACACUCCAAUACUAAUCACCCUGCUCUGACCCUCGAACCCCGGCCCGAGCGCUGCUGGCAGGCGAAGCGAGUGCAUUAAACACGCUAAACACCUCAAUCUCUAGCGGUCAACAGUGUGCAGUAGUUUACAUGCUCAACUCUCACUAUCUGGCCGCUGUUACACACGCAAUACGAGAGUGAAUGUUUGUUUAUCACAGCUGACGCGCAACAAAAUGCUUCACGAAAAAUAAAGCGCAGAUGAUGAACGAACGACAAGGAAGCACAAAAACUGAACGUACAGUACACAAGAGUAAAUACAAAGUGUUCAUUGUUAGUCGCAAACAGCACAGCAGCUCCAGACAAUCAAAACCCAGUGUUACUCACAUGAGAAGGAAUCAAAGCAGCCUCCUCAUCUGUUUUCAGGCCUUCCCACUUAGCUCUCUCCAGCGCUGGAAAGCUUUUCUAAUAUAAACACGGGUCCUAAAGCGCUUGCCCAGUCAUAAACCUUCAUUCCAGUGAUAUUCUUUUGAGCUCUUUUGUAUUGUGUCUCAUCAACUCUCUUCCUGGGUUUUUUUUUUUUCCUCCCUCUUGCUCGUUCUGUCUCCUCGACUGCUAUAGCUACGCCCCCUAAUGCUGAUUGGUUAGACGUUUGUUGUUGGUGUCGGCCUGACUAACUUUCAAACAGUGUUUUUGAAAAAAUACAUAGCCCACAUUUAACUUAGUUAAGUUGAUUUUACUUAAUUUCAUAAGUGAAUUUACUUAACUCAUACUCUAAAAAUCCGCAUGCAAAAACUUGUAUUAAUAUUUUAAUAUCGUUUAGGGUCACUAGUUUAGAAUUUACACACAUCGCCUUUAUUCAAAUACAAAAAACGUAAUCAUAUUUCAUGCAGCCAACAAUCCCAGCUACACUAAAGUGAAAGAGAAGCACAUGUAUAUCUGAGAUAGUAGCUUCAUAGAUAAAGAUUAGAUCUAUAAAUAAAGGUGAAGUGUGCAAUUCUGAGCAGAAUUUAAAUAUGUUUUUUUGUGUUGACAUGACAUAUCAUCGGCUCAACCAAUGGUGUAAUUUUGGGGUGGGACUCUUGGUUUUCCAAGUAAUAAUUAAGUGGUUAUUUUUGGUCUACUGUUUGAUGGUGCAGAAACUGCACUCUCCACCUUUCAGCAGAUGGUUCAGGCCAAUGCAACACUCAUCAGAAUGUGACCCAGGGUUACUUAUUUAGGUGUGUGAUAAGCUUUUGCAGGUCAUCUGACAGCCAAAGGUGUUGAGCAUCACUUGUUUUGACGUGCCCACAUCAGCUGAUUCACACACACUCAAGAGCAUGAAAAUACGCAGAGCAGGUCACGUCCAGCUGUCACACAAAGAGAGAUCUGCCUGUGUGGCAGCAGGGCAGACAAAUCUGUCCAAAGUUCACCCGUCAUCUGCAGUUAAUGAUUGGAGAACUGGCUGUGUCUCGGUUUGCAUGGAUUUGCUUAUGGAAAAGUCAAACUCAGGGAGGUGCAGGAGACACUGUACACCAUCGUCUGUGUGCUGUUGCAUAAUUUAGGUGGUUGGUGUCGAGUUGCAGACAGGGCUUCGUGUUCUCCUUGAAAGACGUGCAUAACCCACUUGCCCAAAUAUCUUCUCCUAUUUCUGACACACUACCUUCCCCAAACAAAACAACAUAGUGAUAUGUCAGCAUAUGUUCCAGGACCACAACAUAGGCACACCUCCUGUAGACGCCUCACAAAUUUGCACAAAAUUUGCAAAAUAUCACUCCUAAAAACUAAACUGGUCGGCUUUGAAAAUUUAGCUUUUCAUUUGCACAUGAAAAUGCUCCAUGAUGUGACACAAUCACAGCCUAUCAGAAAAUAUUUGAUGUUUAACAGGCAGUUAUGGACAGCAGGGUUUUGGGCCAAUGUUAUUUCAGGGUGAAUGGAUCUACACUGCGGAAAUGGAAACCAAAUGAUGGACAAAACGUCCUAGCGUGGUUAGGACAUAAGUUCUGCAACACCAUGUUCCUCCAUCGUGCUAAGUUAGAACAUGAUGUUUCUGUGAAGUAUAUUUGGUAUUGUGUGGUAUGUUGUUUUUCUGACUGCAGUGUUCGUAGACCAUACAUCCUGAUUUUAACACUGAUGUUUGAAAAUAUCUAUCUUUAAAGGUUCAAUUUCUGUGCAUUAGCAUUGCCAAAGUAACACAUCCGUGUUCAAACCUUCAAACCUACUACUUAGCAAACUUAGUCAUAAUGAUGUCGACUUUAUUGAAUUCAAAGAGUAAACAUUUAGUGGGAGCGAGUUACUUUCGGUUUCAGUGAAGGAUCCAGUAUGUUGUAGGCAGAGAUUAUUGUAAAUAUGGAGAGAAUGCUGCAACGGACAAUCUGAAAAACCUCUGUGUUUGUAGUCAACAUUUCAAGCUGGAUGCUCACAAAAAUCAUGUUUUAGGCCAAACAGAGGGAAAAAAACUGAAAGAAAUGGCUGUUCUGUCAGUUCUGCCCGAAGCGAAAUGCCUUCACGUACAGGUCUGCCUGUCAUGUGAGUGAUCACAUGACAGGAAGCAGGAAGUAGACCAGAAUAAAAGGAGGCAGCAUGGCAGUCAACUGAGGGUCACAAACACAACUAAUGAUCAUCACUUACUGGACUGUGGAGUACCUUACCUUACCUUUCCAGAAAGGUACUAUCACACAGACUAUCACUUCUGUGGAUUGUUUAUACACCGGUGGACACUUUCACAUUUGUACUGACAACACUUUGGGAUUCUUAAGAAGUGUUUUAUUAUGGUAUGGAGCAAAUAUAUGUUUUUCUAGUUUUAUUGUGUUGUUUCAUGUGAAUAUUGUAAAUACACUUCAUUUAUUCACUUUA